rnacentral:rRNA from 1 species
GAUGAACGCUGGCGGCGUGCCUAAUACAUGCAAGUCGAGCGAACGGACGAGAAGCUUGCUUCUCUGAUGUUAGCGGCGGACGGGUGAGUAACACGUGGAUAACCUACCUAUAAGACUGGGAUAACUUCGGGAAACCGGAGCUAAUACCGGAUGAUAUUUUGAACCGCAUGGUUCAAAAGUGAAAGACGGUCUUGCUGUCACUUAUAGAUGGAUCCGCGCUGCAUUAGCUAGUUGGUAAGGUAACGGCUUACCAAGGCAACGAUGCAUAGCCGACCUGAGAGGGUGAUCGGCCACACUGGAACUGAGACACGGUCCAGACUCCUACGGGAGGCAGCAGUAGGGAAUCUUACGCAAAGGGCGAAAGCCUGACGGAGCAACGCCGCGUGAGUGAUGAAGGUCUUCGGAUCGUAAAACUCUGUUAUUAGGGAAGAACAUAUGUGUAAGUAACUGUGCACAUCUUGACGGUACCUAAUCAGAAAGCCACGGCUAACUACGUG